rnacentral:rRNA from 1 species
AAAGGCGGAGGGUUGUAGCUGGCCUCUAGGGGCAUGUGCACGCUCUCUUCCGGACCUUUCGCCGUAUGGGCGCGGGGCGACCCGCGUCUUCAUAUACCUCUUCGUGUAGAAAGUCUUUGAAUGUUUUACCAUCAUCGAGUCGCGACUUCUAGGAGACGCGAUUCUUUGAGAAAAAAGUUAUUACAACUUUCAGCAACGGAUCUCUUGGCUCUCGCAUCGAUGAAGAACGCAGCGAAUCGCGAUAUGUAAUGUGAAUUGCAGAUCUACAGUGAAUCAUCGAAUCUUUGAACGCACCUUGCGCUCCUCGGUGUUCCGAGGAGCAUGCCUGUUUGAGUGUCAGUAAAUUCUCAACCCCUCUCGAUUUGCUUCGAGCGGGUGCUUGGAUGUUGGGGGCUGCCGGAGACACUGGAUUCGUCCAGGACUCGGGCUCCUCUUAAAUGAAUCGGCUCGCGGUCGACUUUCGACUUUGCAUGACAAGGCCUUUGGCGUGAUAAUGAUCGCCGUUCGCCGAAGUGCAAGACAGAAUGGUCCCGUGCCUCUAAUGCGUCGAA